ACUCGGUUAGCUCAGUUGGUAGAGCGCCGGCCCGAUAAGCCGUAGGUCGCUGGUUCGAGUCCAGCCCCGAGUACCA
rnacentral:tRNA from 1 species